AAAGAUUAAGCCAUGCAUGUCUAAGUAUAAGCAAUCUAUACCGUGAAACUGCGAAUGGCUCAUUAAAUCAGUUAUCGUUUAUUUGAUAGUACCUUACUACUUGGAUAACCGUGGUAAUUCUAGAGCUAAUACAUGCUAAAAACCCCGACUUCGGAAGGGGUGUAUUUAUUAGAUAAAAAACCAAUGCCCUUCGGGGCUCCUUGGUGAUUCAUAAUAACUUAACGAAUCGCAUAGCCUUGUGCUGGCGAUGGUUCAUUCAAAUUUCUGCCCUAUCAACUUUCGAUUGUAAGGUAUUGGCUUACAAUGGUUU
rnacentral:rRNA from 1 species